AGGGGGAAUGGAAUCAACACAAAUUGGUCAAAGGAGGAAUUUUACCAAAUUAAGAUCAUUCAUUCAUUUUGGGAGAUGAAAUGUACAUUUCAUCAAUCCCCUAAAUCCAAUGAUCUUAACUUAACAAAUUCAAAUCAACCUUGACCAAGGCCCAACAACACAAGUCAAACUCAACAAGUAAAUAAUAGAAGCUCAACAUAAUUUAUUUGGCAUUUAAAUAAUAAAAACAAAUAAAAUAUGCAUUAAAUUAAAUCACGGUUUAUCAAAUUCCUAAAACCUCAUCAAAACAC
rnacentral:lncRNA from 1 species